CUACCUGCUAGACAUUCUGGAGGCCUCCUAACUGGUUGAUCUGCUGCUGCCCUUUUGGCCCAAACUUAUAGCUGUCAACAACGGAGCCCCAUUCAGACCAGGUGGGCCCUGCUGCCAGUCGGAGAGACUCAGAAUUUCAGGCGGAGCCGUAUUGAAUCCAGACGGACACACGCAUAUAGAUGAGCAGACAAACACAAAGACCCGUCCUCCACUGCUACGAUAACCGGAAAUCGGAAUUGGUAAAACAGAGAAUAGAAUGGCAUCAUCGGUUUAAAAGGGGAUUUUUGGAUGAACGCGGUAUACACAUGAUCAUGCAAAACACAGGUUCAAGAUACAGUUGGCAAACCGAUGUGAUUUCGAUAAUCUUGGAGGCAUGAAGGAAAUUAUUUCCUUAGAUCAUGGCUGAAAAUUUUGGUGACCGAGUAUACUGGUAUCGUGACACAUAAUUUUUUACAAUUGGACACCUCAAUCUCCGUUCUUUAAAUACUAGAUUUCAUGACC
rnacentral:lncRNA from 1 species